rnacentral:rRNA from 1 species
GACGAACGCUGGCGGCGUGCUUAACACAUGCAAGUCGAACGAAGAGCGAUGGAAGCUUGCUUCUAUCAAUCUUAGUGGCGAACGGGUGAGUAACGCGUAAUCAACCUGCCCUUCAGAGGGGGACAACAGUUGGAAACGACUGCUAAUACCGCAUACGAUCUAAUCUCGGCAUCGAGGAUGGAUGAAAGGUGGCCUCUACAUGUAAGCUAUCACUGAAGGAGGGGAUUGCGUCUGAUUAGCUAGUUGGAGGGGUAACGGCCCACCAAGGCGAUGAUCAGUAGCCGGUCUGAGAGGAUGAACGGCCACAUUGGGACUGAGACACGGCCCAGACUCCUACGGGAGGCAGCAGUGGGGAAUCUUCCGCAAUGGACGAAAGUCUGACGGAGCAACGCCGCGUGAGUGAUGACGGCCUUCGGGUUGUAAAGCUCUGUUAAUCGGGACGAAAGGCCUUCUUGCG